AGAAUCUAUUGCUGCUUGGCUUUCUGAGCUUCUGGCAGGAAGUUUCACCCUUAUCUCAGAUCAAGAGAAAGCUGCCAGUCAGAUCACCUCUCCAGUCUUUUAAAGCCUGAGCUUCUGCCUGAGCCCACUCACCACUUCAGGGAUCUGCCAACUCAUGUGGCCCUACACCCAGGUCUCUUUGCGCAAAGGGCAGGAUUUCAACUCCUCUAUCUUCUUCAUCACCCAAAGGGAUUGUGGAGUGCAGAUUUGUGGGUCCACAAUAGCAGGGGAGUGGAAUCUGACCAUUUCUCAAGCCCUGGAAGCCCAUCUUCUAAGAAGGAGGCUGCUCAGGGUUUUCUAGGGAGGGUGAGGGAUGCAACUGCAUUCCUGCCUCUUACCAGAUGUGUGACUCUGGAAAAUCGAUUUAUACUCUGUGAGCCUGAACUUCUCCACUGCAAAAUGGGAAACAAUUGAUACUGUCCCCACAGAAUUGUGUAGGGAAAAUGAGGGAACUUAAGGAAAUGUUUGGUGCAUAAUAUAACUUCAGCAAAUGUUUGUUCUGCUCACCAUGACUCCUCACCACGAUAAAAGAGACUUCGACAUAAAAGAAAGAGCAGAACUGUCAGAGCAUUUGGAAAUGUAGCAACAAGAAAGGAAAUGUAUAGGCAUUUACAUAAUGUAUGAAUUUGGGUGCCAUCUCAGUUGUAGAAUGUUAUCAGAAGAAUUUGGAGAAAGGGAAGACAAUAUUGUACUAUUUCCUUGUAUUCUAUUGAAUUUCUGUCCCUGUUACUUCACUUUCUACUUGAACAUCUGAAGAAAUAGUUUUCCAGUAAGUUCUGGAAAAAGGAGACAGUACAGGGGAACCAAAUAUAAUAAGGACCAUUGGAUCUUAGAUGAGUCACUUCCUCUGUGCUGGCCUCAUCUCUAACACCAAGUCACAUGCAAUAUAACUGGUUAGGGGGUUUGGGCUUUGGGUGCUAUUGUUUUCUGGUUGCAUGACCUUUAGCAAAUUUUUUAACCUCUCUGAGACCCAUUUAAAAAUAUUUCAAAUGGCUGUUAUAAUGGCAACAACAUCAUUAGGCUGUACUGAAAAUUAAGUGAGAACAUGCAUGUACAGCAUUUAGUAAAGUGUCUGGCACUAAGUAAUCAAUAAAUGUUAUCAUCAUGUUC
rnacentral:lncRNA from 1 species